UACGUAGGGGGCAAGCGUUGUCCGGAUUUAUUGGGCGUAAAGAGCGUGUAGGCGCCACACAGGUCUGCUGUGAAAACUCGAGGCUCAACCUCGAGCUGUCGGUGGAAACCGUGUGGCUAGAGUCCGGAAGAGGAGAGUGGAAUUCCCGGUGUAGCGGUGAAAUGCGCAGAUAUCGGGAAGAACACCCGUGGCGAAGGCGGCUCUCUGGGACGGUACUGACGCUGAGACGCGAAAAGCGUGGGGAGCGAACAGG
rnacentral:rRNA from 1 species